rnacentral:tRNA from 1 species
AGUUCAGCGGUUGAACACUCGCUUCACAAGCGACAGGUCGGUGGUUCGAACCCACU